rnacentral:lncRNA from 1 species
GCCACUGUGUCCUGGGCAGGAAGGGAGAUGCGGAUUAUAUAAGGCCCUAUGGGUCAUCCUAUGGAUCCAGCCUGAUGCCUGGCCUGUCUGAUGUCUGUGCUUUUCCUGAGUGGAUCAGAAGUGGGGGAGACUGGUACUUGGGGCGCCCGGGGGGCUCAGUCGGUUAAGGGUCUGACUCUUGAUUUCAGCUCAGGUCAUGAUCUCACGGCUCAUGGGAUCCAACCCUGCAUCAGGCUUUGCACUGACAGUGUGGAGCCUGCUUAGGAUUCUCUCUCUCCCUGUCUGUCUCUCUCUCUCUGCCCCUUCCCUGCUCGUGCACACACUCUCUCUCUUUCUGUCUCUCAAAAUAAAUGAAUAAACAUUUCCGAAGAAAAAGACGGCCACUAGAGGGCAGCACAUAGCUUCAGAUUAGUGCCUGAGGACCUGGCAGAGAUAGAGUUUUAGGUGACCUGAGACCUCAGUCUUCAACACCAAGGAAACACAGCAUUUGGGGUCCCUGAGGAAAGGCUGUCCUCGAGUAAAUACUCCCCAUGCAAUAUGAUGGGGCCCUCCAUGAAAAUCUGCCGCAGGAAGAAACUUUGGGAGGUGACCGAUAUGUUUUUGUCCUUGAUAGUGGUGAUGGUUUCACAGGUGGAAACAGUAUCCCCAAACUCACUGUGAUGCAUACAUUCAACACACACAGCUUUUUAGGUAUUGAUCAUACCUCAGUAAACUAGUUUUAAAAAGAAGAAAGGAAAUCUGCCCCAAACCUGACUUCACUGAACUUCCACCAUUAGAGAGUCAUUCCUUUAGAUUAAGCAUGUCUCUUCCAGAAGAUAACAAGGUACUGUUAUCAACAGCCCAAGUGGAAGCCCCUGGAAGGGAUUAGAGAAAUGGGAAGGGCCUUGAGACCACAGUAAAAGGUUCUGGAUAGAGUCCCUUCCACCUACAAGACACUUCACCACCUUCUUAACAGUACAAACAUGAACAUACCCCUCAAAGACCCCAGAUCCAACCUCCCCUUCUGGGAAAAUCCUUGCCCCUCUAGGCCCUUCCAUCUGUAUUUCUCGCUCUGGCCCCAUUCUGGCCUCUGGAGGCUGGGAGCGCUUGUAUCCAGGAAGACGCUGAUAUUAAGACCUCCAGGCGUCCCUUGGGACAUGUCCUUCCCUGUGGCUUCGGGGGAAGGAAUAGGGGUGUCAUUAGGCAGCAUGACGAGGCUGAUCAGCUGUGAAGCCAAAAGCAUCAGGAGCCCCUGGUGGUGCCCAAAUCUGGGCUCAUACAGACGGGCUUGUGGACAAGCACACGUGUGCAGGUACACACACAGACACACACACACAUUCUUCCCUGCUCUCUCCUCCCUUCCCCAAGCAGGCACCCAGGUCCCCAGAGCAGGUCGGGACAGUACUGCCACCGUCCACCAGGGGGCGAGCUUGGCUUUACUUUGCAGCCUUCUGCUGCGGAAAUGCCUCCAGGUCGUGGGUCUUGCCUUUCUAGAUGUUUCUGCCCGAUCCAGGGGCUGCCCGCCUGUGUCUGAGGUCUGCCGCCACCAACUUCACGUACGGAUGUCUCCAUCUGAGUCUGUCAGCAGCUCCAGAAACACCUGUGGUCCUCCAGCCAUCAGCACACGCACCACCCAGAUACAAGCUGUUCUCGAUCAAUGA